rnacentral:lncRNA from 1 species
ACCGCCGGAGAUUCCGUUACCCUGAAGACCGGCGUGGACUCGUCCAGAGUAGCCGACACCGUGCUUGACGCUACGCCACUCUGCCUCUUCACCGUUGACAACUUACUCCUCCCGACCGAGUUGUUCGGAAAAUCUCCAUCUCCGGCACCUGCACCGGAACCAGUGUCAUCCCCCUCCCCAACUCCAGCGGUCUCUCCAAGCCCGUCACCAGCUGCCGAAGCACCUACACCCGUCUCCUCCCCUCCAGCUCCACCGAUGGAGUCGCCGGAAGGCUCUCCGUCAGAUGCCCCUGCUGAAUCAGAAAACAGCACGACGGACAAAUCGGCCGUCGACGUCACCGCUCCGGCAGUGUUGAAACUACUCGCCACGGUCAUUUUCACGGUUCUGUUGUCCUGAAUAGUAAUUUCCUUGGAUUGUUAAUUUAUUUCACUUUAUUUUUCCACGGUUUUCC